rnacentral:rRNA from 1 species
AGAGUUUGAUCAUGGCUCAGGACGAACGCUGGCGGCGUGCUUAACACAUGCAAGUCGAGCGAGGCCCUCCCUUCGGGGAGGUGUCCUAGCGGCGAACGGGUGAGUAACACGUGGGCAACCUGCCCUCCGCUCUGGGAUAACCCCGGGAAACCGGAGCUAAUACCGGAUAUGACCACGGACGACAUCUUCUGUGGUGGAAAGUUUUUCGGCGGAGGAUGGGCCCGCGGCCUAUCAGCUUGUUGGUGGGGUAACGGCCCACCAAGGCGACGACGGGUAGCCGGCCUGAGAGGGCGACCGGCCACACUGGGACUGAGACACGGCCCAGACUCCUACGGGAGGCAGCAGUGGGGAAUAUUGCGCAAUGGGCGAAAGCCUGACGCAGCGACGCCGCGUGAGGGAUGACGGCCUUCGGGUUGUAAACCUCUUUCAGCAGGGACGAAGCGAAAGUGACGGUACCUGCAGAAGAAGCACCGGCCAACUACGUGCCAGCAGCCGCGGUAAUACGUAGGGUGCAAGCGUUGUCCGGAAUUAUUGGGCGUAAAGAGCUCGUAGGCGGUCUGUCGCGUCGGCUGUGAAAACCCGGGGCUCAACCCCGGGCCUGCAGUCGAUACGGGCAGACUAGAGUGCGGUAGGGGAGACUGGAAUUCCUGGUGUAGCGGUGAAAUGCGCAGAUAUCAGGAGGAACACCGGUGGCGAAGGCGGGUCUCUGGGCCGUAACUGACGCUGAGGAGCGAAAGCGUGGGGAGCGAACAGGAUUAGAUACCCUAGUAGUCC